rnacentral:rRNA from 1 species
GAUGAACGCUGGCGGUAUGCCUAACACAUGCAAGUCGUACGAGAGUUUUUAACUCAAGUGGCGGACGGGUGAGUAACACGUGAGAAUUUGCCUUUAGGAGGGGGACAACAGCUGGAAACGGUUGCUAAUACCCCAUAUGCUUCCGAGUGAAAUGAAUUUAUUCGCCUAAAGAGAAGCUCGCGGCUGAUUAGCUUGUUGGUAGGGUAAGAGCCUACCAAGGCGACGAUCAGUAUCUGGUUUGAGAGGACGAUCAGACACACUGGAACUGAGACACGGUCCAGACUCCUACGGGAGGCAGCAGUGGGGAAUUUUCCGCAAUGGGCGAAAGCCUGACGGAGCAAUACCGCGUGAGGGAAGACGGCCUAUGGGUUGUAAACCUCUUUUUUCAGGGAGGAAUAAUUGACGUGUACCUGAAGAAUAAGCAUCGGCUAACUCCGUGCCAGCAGCCGCGGUAAGACGGAGGAUGCAAGUGUUAUCCGGAAUCACUGGGCGUAAAGCGUCUGUAGGUUGUCGAACAAGUCAACUGUUAAAUCUUGAGGCUCAACUUCAAAAUCGCAGUCGAAACUGUUUGACUAGAGUAUAGUAGGGGUAAAGGGAAUU